CCGGGGUGAGUAUUACAUCAGGUACUGGUGUGCUUUACAUGGGACUUUUAAGAGGACCCUCACAACUAUCAGUACUUAUGUCAUACUCUCUUCGU
rfam:Anopheles darlingi Cont7005, whole genome shotgun sequence.